GUCGGUUAGUUGAUGGAUCUCUUGCUCAUUGCACAGUUGGUGUAAACUGGAAAUCCAGAUGCUCUGUGCAACCCCUUUCAUCUAAUGUUUCACCUACAGAGAAUUAUUUCCUGGAUAACAAAUUCAGUGCUUCAGCUACCUCCAGUUAUAAAUCAGACUGCCUGCUAGGUUCAGGAUGGGAGAACGAGUCUCAAACAAUUUUAGUUGGCAAAUCAACAGAGGAUGCCUCAUUUAAGGAGUCUCUUGAACUUAUUGACAGUUCAAAUAUGAUGCAUGAGAGAAGGAAACCAUUCAUGCGUAGCUGUUCUUUGCGCAGAAGCCUGAUACAUGAUGGAACAUCUUUUGAUAGUGAUGAAGACGUUAAGUUUGGAAAAAGUGACUGCAGAACUAAACAAAAUCGCCUUGAAGAUGAUUAUAGUGUUGAAUUUGAAGUUGUUCAUGAUGUUAACCGGGUCUUACAUCAAAGGCCUACUAGAGGCAAGGAAAUAUAUUUUGAGAAGUUCUCCAGGUGCAAAACACAGAGCAGGGCAUUGCAGCGGACAAAAAAAAUUUCAGGUGAUUCAGAAAAGUCUUCUUUAACCAAGGACAUUCUAGAUGAAGAUGAUCAUCUUAUGGACUUCUUUAAACAGACUGAAAA
rnacentral:misc_RNA from 1 species